rnacentral:misc_RNA from 1 species
GCAUAUUAAAAUUUCUAGAUGUUUAAUACAAAUUUCACAAAUAAAACAUGUCUCACUAUAAUUUAAAUUAAACAGUGAUUUUGGAAAAGUGAAUAGGAAGAAAUAAUAUUUAAAGAUGAUUUUAUCUUUUUUUUUUUAAUAAUAAUAAUAGAUAGAAACUGUUUAACUACCUGUAACGUUACAAGGAAAUGGAACGUCUGUUGGAACUUGCUUUUGAAAUUUUCUUUCAUUUCGUGCUGAUCGUCCCUCAUUUCUUACACCUAGAAAAUCGAUAUUUUGGAAAAACCAAUUACGAAUUUGACGAUAGAAGUACAAAUUUAUCGGCGAAUCUAAAGCCGUUUUCUGAGACGCGGUCAGCACGCAUAAUUGUAACAAAAGAUACAAACGAAACUUGUUCAUCGCACGUUUUAUUGGGCCAAUUGACGUGAUGAUACGGCUUUCGCGAACACUCGUGUUUCGUAAUUCUUAUAACUUUAUAACAAUACCGAAUGGAUUCGAGAUGGUAUCCUUCUUUUCCCUCUCAAAGUUUGCGGCGAUCUGAGACAGGUGUACUCGCUAAACGACACAAAAGUUUGUGCUGGCUGCUGCGUACGCGUAUCAUUCUAAACCUUGAUCGUGCUGUAAGUAGCUGGUUCUGACUUUUGAUGAUG